rnacentral:rRNA from 1 species
GAUGAACGCUGGCGGCGUGCCUAAUACAUGCAAGUCGAGCGAACAGACGAGGAGCUUGCUCCUCUGACGUUAGCGGCGGACGGGUGAGUAACACGUGGAUAACCUACCUAUAAGACUGGGAUAACUUCGGGAAACCGGAGCUAAGACCGGAUAAUAUAUUGAACCGCAUGGUUCAAUAGUUAAAGACGGUUUUGCUGUCACUUAUAGAUGGAUCCGCGCCGCAUUAGCUAGUUGGUAAGGUAACGGCUUACCAAGGCGACGAUGCGUAGCCGACCUGAGAGGGUGAUCGGCCACACUGGAACUGAGACACGGUCCAGACUCCUACGGGAGGAAGCAGUAGGGAAUCUUCCGCAAUGGGCGAAAGCCUGACGGAGCAACGCCGCGUGAGUGAUGAAGGUCUUCGGAUCGUAAAACUCUGUUAUUAGGGAAGAACAAAUGUGUAAGUAACUAUGCACGUCUUGACGGUACCUAAUCAGAAAGCCACGGCUAACUACGUG